rnacentral:rRNA from 1 species
AUUGAACGCUGGCGGCAGGCCUAACACAUGCAGGUCGAGCGGAUGAAGGGAGCUUGCUCCUGGAUUCAGCGGCGGACGGGUGAGUAAUGCCUAGGAAUCUGCCUGGUAGUGGGGGAUAACGUCCGGAAACGGGCGCUAAUACCGCAUACGUCCUGAGGGAGAAAGUGGGGGAUCUUCGGACCUCACGCUAUCAGAUGAGCCUAGGUCGGAUUAGCUAGUUGGUGGGGUAAAGGCCUACCAAGGCGACGAUCCGUAACUGGUCUGAGAGGAUGAUCAGUCACAUGGGAAGUGGGACACGCGCCAGAACCUCAGGGGGGGGAGCAUGGGGGAAUAUGGGCAGAUGGGGGAAAGCGUGACCCGGCCAACCGGGGGUGGUGAAGAAGGGUUUGGGUUUGAAAAGCCUUUUAAGUUGGGAGGAGGGGCAGUAAGUUAAAACCUUGCUUUUUUGAGGUUCCAAAAAGAAAGAGCACCGCCUAAUUUCUU